CCCACUGAACAAAAAUUAAACAAAGUGUAUCUAUUAAAAUAUCGUCAACAUUGUAAUUAAUAUAAUUUUAUUAAAGCGGGUCAUAGUUAGAGAGUAUCCCUAUAAUAACAGAGCGCGUCAAAGGUUAUCUGGCGAAAUAAGUCGCAGGUUUAGUAUAUAAACAGAAUUGUUUGAACAGUCACAGUAACUACAGUCAUGAAACUGGUCACUUUUAUAUUAUUAUAUGCAAUUGUUGUUCUGGAAGUUUUAUCAAUACCAUUGUUCUCAUCAGCACCAUCCUAUUCUGUUACAGUUGUUGAAGAUUAUGAGCCGUGUCCAUUUGGGCAAGUAAGAAAUCCUCAAUGUGAAUGUGAACCAAACAAAGCGGUAAUUUAUGAUCCACCACCAAUAUGCCUUUCUAUUUAUGACUGAAAUUGACUAGUAAUUAAAUGUACUUUAUGACCAAUUAAUAAAGAUAUUUUAAAUUAA